rnacentral:tRNA from 1 species
UGCGACAUAGCUCAAUGGUAGAGCAACCCGCUUUGACCGGGUUUACCUAGGUUCGAUUCCUAGUGUCGCUG